GGAGCGCCCGUUUCCCUUUAGUGCUGACAAAGGUUUUGUUCGAUCUCAUAGAAUGCAGAGGAAGCACUACAGGGGGCUAUCGAAUCCUCAGUGUAUUCAUGGUAUUGAGGUUGUUUCAUCUCCCAGUCUCAUGGUUCUUGAUGAAGAGGAGCGCAAAAGAUGGAUGGAACUCACAGGUAGGGAACUCAACUUCAGUAUUCCUCACGAAGCAAGCGAUUACAGUUCAUGGAGAAACCUCCCCAACACUGAAUUUGAACUUGAGAGACCCCUCCCGCCAAUUAAGAGUAACCCGCAUCCCAAUCCAAAGAAACUGGCUAAUGGAUCAGGGCUUAAUUUGUUAACUCAGCCAUCGAAUCACAGCAACGGGGACGCAAUGGAUCUACUACCUGCGAAUGGGAAAAGGAAAAAGGAUUUCUUCCCUCACGGAAAUGACGAUGAGUGUUUCCUGCAAGUAAAUCCUCCUUCCUAUCAAACUCCAGAUCUUGAAAUUCACCCAACCGAACCGCAUUGGUUACAUGACUUCAGUGGGGUGAUGAGGGAUGUCUACGGGCCAGUAACAGCUGCAAAAAGCAUAUAUGAAGAUGAACAAGGUUACUUAAUCGUACUCAGUUUGCCAUUUGUAGAUCUUCAAAGGGUGAAAGUUUCGUGGCGAAACACACUCACACAUGGUAUAAUAAAGGUAUCUUGUUUAAGCACAUCUCGUAUGCCAUUCAUCAACAGACAAAACAGAACUUUCAAGCUUGACGAGUCAUCCUCAGAACACUGCCCUCCAGGUGAGUUUGUCAGAGAAAUUCCUCUUUCAACAAGAAUCCCAGAAGAUGCCAAAAUUGAAGCAUACUACGACGAAUCAGGAACUGUGCUAGAGAUGUUGGUACCAAAACUUUGUGAAGGACCUGAAGAACAUGAAGUUCGCGUAUGCCUCCGUCCUCACCUUGGAGGAAACGACCUCAUGUUGACCUAAGUGUAGAUGUACUGAUGUGCCUGUUUGGUGAAAGGGUGCACCAACUUAAGUUUCAUAUGAUGUUGGUUUAUGCAAUUUUAUGAUCUAUUUGCACACACUAGGUGUUGUUGGUAGGUUUUGCCAUACUAGCUGUAGCUUCUGUUGCAACGCUAUUUGGUAUGAUAUUCAAUGCUAGUUUCGGUCUGUCUAUGUAGAGGGUAUUCGAUAUUCGAAUAUGAUUUACUUUUAAGUUUUA
rnacentral:misc_RNA from 1 species